GAUGAACGCUGGCGGCGUGCCUAAAACAUGCAAGUCGAGCGGCAGCGAGUUCCUCGCUAAUGUUCGGAUUUGUUUACCAAUGAUGCAAGUAAUUUAGUCAGAGUAACAAAGUAACGACUAGUUGUUUAAGUUAAAAGGUAGAUUUAAUAUUCCGGAUAUGAGCGAGGAAUGUCGGCGAGCGGCGGACGGCUGAGUAGCGCGUAGGAACAUACCCCAAAGUGAGGCAUAACCGCCCGAAAGGGUGGCUAAUACCGCAUAUUGUCUUCGGAUGAAAAGCUUUUAGCGCUUUGGGAAUGGCCUGCGUUUGAUUAGCUAGUUGGUGAGGUAAGGGCUUACCAAGGCGAUGAUCAAUAGCUGGUUUGAGAGAAUGAUCAGCCAGACUGGAACUGAGACACGGUCCAGACUCCUACGGGACGGCAGCAGUUGGGAAUUUUCCACAAUGGCGAAAGCCUGAUGGAGCAACGCCGCGUGCAGGAAGAAUGCCUCGGUUGUAACGU
rnacentral:rRNA from 1 species